rnacentral:rRNA from 1 species
GAUGAACGCUGGCGGCGUGCCUAAUACAUGCAAGUCGAGCGAACAGACGAGGAGCUUGCUCCUCUGACGUUAGCGGCGGACGGGUGAGUAACACGUGGAUAACCUACCUAUAAGACUGGGAUAACUUCGGGAAACCGGAGCUAAUACCGGAUAAUAUAUUGAACCGCAUGGUUCAAUAGUGAAAGACGGUUUUGCUGUCACUUAUAGAUGGAUCCGCGCCGCAUUAGCUAGUUGGUAAGGUAACGGCUUACCAAGGCAACGAUGCGUAGCCGACCUGAGAGGGUGAUCGGCCACAAUGGAACUGAGACACGGUCCAGACUCCUACGGGAGGCAGCAGUAGGGAAUCUUCCGCAAAGGGCGAAAGCCUGACGGAGCAACGCCGCGUGAGUGAUGAAGGUCUUCGGAUCGUAAAACUCUGUUAUUAGGGAAGAACAAAUGUGUAAGUAACUAUGCACGUCUUGACGGUACCUAAUCAGAAAGCCACGGCUAACUACGUG